ensembl:lncRNA
GACUGACAGAAGGUAAAUAUGCGUCUUUCAUAUUUAUAUAAAGACCGUAUUAUACCUCCCUCAGUGAUCGAUCCAUAAAAAAACGGGAUAUGCUGACGAAGUUUCACUUAGUGAUCCAGAGAGAUACACUGACGACUUCCUCAGUCCCCGAAUAAAGUAAAUUAACCCUUGUGUGGUGUUGGUGGACCCGCUAGAAAAGACACAGGAAGUUGCCUGUUGUUUUGCGAGAAGUUGCUCGUUAAGCGAGAAGUUGCUCGUUAAGUGAGAGUUGCUCACCCAAACAAAAAAUUGCUAGCAAUAAAUUUAAAGUGACCUCAGCUGUGCCGCAGCGAAAAUACUAACCUAAAUCCUCCUAGCGUGUAAACCCCUCUGGAAAUCACUGAACAUGGGUCAGAAUUAUUCAAAGACCACAGACAGGUCCGAUAAAAAAUCUAAAGUACCUGUAAAACCAAAAAUUAAUAAAAUACAAAAUGAAGUCUCAAAUAACGGCUCAGUACAACUCCCAUUUCCGGUUACGUGUAACCUACGUCCGCGAAUCGGUGAAGACGUCCAUGAUCACGUAUCCAGAACAUGCGGAAGUGCUUACGUGACUGACUUUGUUUACAACUUACGGACUGUAAGUUCAAUGCAUUCUAAUUUAUUUCCGGAGCCCUAUCCCGAACGAUUAUCGCCAGAAAACAGUUCCACCAGUGGAGACAAGGAGAUGCGUGUUGGUGAAGUCGCUAAAACCAAGGAUACUUUGGGAGGCCGCGCGUGUUCCAGCCCCAGACUGUACUGGCAGUGACGAAGAACCAGCAUCCUCACAGACGGACAACCUCAGUGGAUUCAUGCCAGCAGGGUUAAGACCAGCCCAAUCGGACCAUCUCAGGCGUCGGAUCAAGCAGAUGACAUCUCCGGCGGGCCAACGCCCGGAACCAGAGCAAAUAAACACACGGGUAGACGACAUCUCCGGCGAGCCAGCGCCAGGAUCCAAUGUACAUACACACACACAAUCACUGAUUAACACACAACGCCUGAAAGAACAACAACAAGGUACUCAAACAUCCAGCAGGAACAGAAAGCCAAAAGUACCACAUGAUGUCUAACCUGAUAAAGCUAGACUCAUUCCAUCCUGAUAAUGGAGAAAAUAAAAUGCCCAUUGUCAUCAUACGACGUUUAUUCUGUGUCUCUCGAACCUGGGACCAGGCCAGGAGACGACUGAAGAACUGUUUUUCUUAUAUAUUUAGGUUAU